rnacentral:rRNA from 1 species
UACGGGGGGGGCAAGCGUUGUUCGGAAUUACUGGGCGUAAAGGGCUCGUAGGCGGCCAACUAAGUCAUACGUGAAAUCCCACGGCUCACCCGUGGAACUGCUGGGCAUACUGGGCGUCUUGGGCCAACUAGGGGCAGCCGGAACAAGCGGUGGAGCGGUGAAAUGCGUAGAUAUCGCUUGGAACGCCGAAGGUGAAAACAGGCUGCUGGGGUUGUGCCGACGCUGAGACACGAAAGCCAGGGGAGCAAACGGG